AGCGAACGCUGGCGGCAGGCUUAACACAUGCAAGUCGAGCGGGCAUCCUCGUGGUGUCAGCGGCAGACGGGUGAGUAACGCGUGGGAACGUACCCUUUGGUUCGGAAUAACCCGGCGAAAGCCGGGCUAAUACCGCAUACGGCCUACGGGCGGAAGAUUUAUCGCUCUGGGAGGGGUCCGCGUCCGAUUAGCUAGUUGGCGGGGUAACGGCCCACCAAGGCGACGAUCGGUAGCUGGUCUGAGAGGAUGAUCAGCCACGCUGGGACUGAGACACGGCCCAGACUCCUACGGGAGGCAGCAGUGGGGAAUUUUGGACAAUGGGCGCAAGCCUGAUCCAGCAAUGCCGCGUGCAGGAAGAAGGCCUUCGGGUUGUAAACUGCUUUUGUACGGAACGAAACGGUCCGGGUUAAUACCCUGGGCUAAUGACGGUACCGUAAGAAUAAGCACCGGCUAACUACGUGCCAGCCGCCGCUGUAACAC
rnacentral:rRNA from 1 species